GUCUACAGCCAUGCCACCCUGAACAAGCCCAAUCCUGUCUGAUCUCAGAAGCUAAAUAGGGUCGGGCCUGGUUAGUACUUGGAUGGGAGACCAAUCUAGGAAGACCAGAUUGAAGACUGUAGACG
rnacentral:rRNA from 1 species